GUUCCCCUGAUAUUAUAUUCUGGGCCUAGAGUUGUGUUCCCCUGAUAUUAUAUUCUGGGCCUAGAGUUGUGUUCCCUUGAUAUGAUAUUCUGGGCCUAGAGUUGUGUUCCCUUGAUAUGAUAUUCUAGGCCUAGAGUUGUGUUCCCUUGAUAUGAUAUUCUAGGCCUAGAGUUGUGUUCCCCUGAUAUUAUAUUCUGGGCCUAGAGUUGUGUUCCCCUGAUAUGAUAUUCUGGGCCUAGAGUUGUGUUCCCCUGAUAUGAUAUUCUGGGCCUAGAGUUGUGUUCCCCUGAUAUGAUAUUCUGGGCCUAGAGUUGUGUUCCCUUGAUAUGAUAUUCUAGGCCUAGAGUUGUGUUCCCCUGAUAUGAUAUUCUGGGCCUAGAGUUGUGUUCCCCUGAUAUGAUAUUCUGGGCCUAGUGUUGUGUUCCCUUGAUAUGAUAUUCUAGGCCUAGAGUUGUGUUCCCCUGAUAUUAUAUUCUGGGCCUAGAGUUGUGUUCCCCUGAUAUUAUAUUCUGGGCCUAGAGUUGUAAGUCGCUCUGGAUAAGAGCGUCUGCUAAAUGAUUUAAAUGUAAAUGUAAAUGUGUUCCCCUGAUAUGAUAUUCUGGGCCUAGAGUUGUGUUCCCCUGAUAUGAUAUUCUGGGCCUAGAGUUGUGUUCCCCUGAUAUGAUAUUCUGGGCCUAGAGUUGUUUCUCUGAGAUGAUAUUCUGGACCUAGAGUUGUUCCCCUGAUAUUCUGGGCCUAGAGUUGUGUUCCUUUAAUAUGAUAUUCUGGGCCUAGAGUUGUUCCCCUGAGAUGAUAAUCUGGGCCUAGAGUUGUGUUUCCCUGAUAUGAUAUUCUGGGCCUAGAGUGAGUUGGAGAGUUACAGAUAAGAAAAACAUCUAUCUGUCUCAUGGGGCAGUGCUCCGGGGCCACUGGUAGGUAGAUGGAGUCUCACCCCGGUCCCUCUGCUCCGGGGCCACUGGUAGGUAGAUGGAGUCUCACCCCGGUCCCUCUGCUCCGGGGCCACUGGUAGGUAGAUGGAGUCUCACCCCGGUCCCUCUGCUCCGGGGCCACUGGUAGGUAGAUGGAGUCUCACCCCGGUCCCUCUGCUCCGGGGCCACUGGUAGGUAGAUGGAGUCUCACCCCGGUCCCUCUGCUCCGGGGCCACUGGUAGGUAGAUGGAGUCUCACCCCGGUCCCUCUGCUCCGGGGCCACUGGUAGGUAGAUGGAGUCUCACCCCGGUCCCUCUGCUCCGGGGCCACUGGUAGGUAGAUGGAGUCUCACCCCGGUCCCUCUGCUCCGGGGCCACUGGUAGGUAGAUGGAGUCUCACCCCGGUCCCUCUGCUCCGGGGCCACUGGUAGGUAGAUGGAGUCUCACCCCGGUCCCUCUGCUCCGGGGCCACUGGUAGGUAGAUGGAGUCUCACCCCGGUCCCUCUGCUCCGGGGCCACUGGUAGGUAGAUGGAGUCUCACCCCGGUCCCUCUGCUCCGGGGCCACUGGUAGGUAGAUGGAGUCUCACCCCGGUCCCUCUGCUCCGGGGCCACUGGUAGGUAGAUGGAGUCUCACCCCGGUCCCUCUGCUCCGGGGCCACUGGUAGGUAGAUGGAGUCUCACCCCGGUCCCUCUGCUCCGGGGCCACUGGUAGGUAGAUGGAGUCUCACCCCGGUCCCUCUGCUCCGGGGCCACUGGUAGGUAGAUGGAGUCUCACCCCGGUCCCUCUGCUCCGGGGCCACUGGUAGGUAGAUGGAGUCUCACCCCGGUCCCUCUGCUCCGGGGCCACUGGUAGGUAGAUGGAGUCUCACCCCGGUCCCUCUGCUCCGGGGCCACUGGUAGGUAGAUGGAGUCUCACCCCGGUCCCUCUGCUCCGGGGCCACUGGUAGGUAGAUGGAGUCUCACCCCGGUCCCUCUGCUCCGGGGCCACUGGUAGGUAGAUGGAGUCUCACCCCGGUCCCUCUGCUCCGGGGCCACUGGUAGGUAGAUGGAGUCUCACCCCGGUCCCUCUGCUCCAGGGCCACUGGUAGGUAGAUGGAGUCUCACCCCAGCCAAUAGCACAAGCCAAAACCCAUAUCCACUGAGCAGGAAGCUGAGAGAUGAGAUUAAUAAAGGAGGAAUAUAAAGAAAGGAGUGUGAAAGAAAUGGAAGAGCAGAGAGAGUGUGUGCUGCAGAUUAGUCAGUUUCUCCUGAUUCUCUGUGUGGGCACAGCGUUCUGAGUAACAAUGCUGUUUCUUCCUGCUGACCUCUGAGGAAGCACUUUUACAGCUAGCCCCCCUGACCUGGACAUUCUGACCUGGACAUUCUGACCUGGACAUUCUGACCUGGACAUUCUGUGGUAGAUGGCACUUUUAACACGUUGUUUACCAGAGCAUGUCCAGGUCCGAAUGUCCAGGUCUGAAUAUCUAGGUCAGCAUCACUACAGACCCGGGUUCAAUCCCAGGCUGUGUCACAACAGUCCAUGACCUGGAGUUCCGUAGGGCGGUGCACAAUUGGCCCAGCGUCAUCCAGGUUAGGGGAGAGUUUGGCCGGGGUGGACUUUACUUGGCUCAUCGCUCUGUAGCGACUCCUUGUGGUGGGUCGGGUGCCUGCAGGCUGACUACUGUCGUCAGUUGAACAGUGUUUCCUCUGACACAUUGGUGCAGCUGGCUUCCGGGUUAAGUGGGCAGGUGUUAAAAAGCGCGGUUUGGCAGGUCAUGUUUCGGAAGAAGCAUGACUCAACCUUAACCUCUCCCGAGCCCGUUGGGGAGCUGCAGCGAUGAGACAAGAUCACAUUUGAAAUUGGGAGAAAAGGGUAAAAAUACCCCAAAAAUCAUAUAUAGAUAUAUAUACAUACAUACAUACAUACAUACAUACAUACAUACAUACAUACAUACAUACAUACAUACAUACAUACAUACAUACAUACAUACAUACAGUACCAGUCAAAAGUUUGGACACAACUCAUUCCACUUUAUUUUACUUUGUAGAAUAGUAGUGAAGACAUCAAAACUAUGAAAUACCACUUAUGGAAUCAUGUAAUAACAAAAAAGUGUUAAACAAAUUGAGAUUCUUCAAAGUAGCUACCCUUUGCCUUGAUGACAUCUUUGCAUACUCUUGGCAUUCUCUCAACCAGCUUCAACUGGAAUGCUUUCCCAACAGUCUUCUGUGUUAUUUCAUAGUUUUGAUGUCUUCACUAUUAUUCUACAGUGUAGAAAAUAGUAAAAAUAAAGAAAAAUUAGUAGGUACAGUUGAAGUCGGAAGUUUACAUACACCUUAGCCAAAUACAUUUAAACUCAGUUUUUCACAAUUCUUGACAUUUCAUCCAAGUAAAAAUUCCCUGUUUUAGGUCAAUUAGGAUCACCACUUUAUUUUAAUAAUGUGAAAUGUCAGAAUAAUAGUAGAGAAUUAUUUAUUUCAGCUUUUAUUUUUUUCAUCACAUUCACAGUGGGUCAGAAGUUUCCAUACACUGAAUUAGUAUUUGGUAGCAUUGCCUUUAAAUGGUUUAACUUUGGUCAAACGUUUCGGGUAGCCUUCCACAAGCUUUUCACAAUAAGUUGGGUGAAUUUUGGCCUGUUCUUCCUGACAGAGUUGGUGUAACUGAGUCAGGUUUGUAGGCCUCCUUGCUCGCACACGCUUUUUCAGUUUUUCCCUCAAAUUGUCAAUAGGAUUGAGGUCAGGGCUUUGUGAUGGCUACUUCAAUACCUUGACUUUGUUGUCCUUAAGCCAUUUUGCCACAACUUUGGAAGUAUGCUUGGGGUCAUUGUCCAUUUGGAAGGCCCAUUUGCGACCAAGCUUUAACUUCCAGACUGUUGACUUGAGAUGUUGCUUCAAUAUAUCCACAUAAUUUUCCGUCCUCAUGAUGCCAUCUAUUUUGUGAAGUGCACCAGUCCCUCCUGCAGCAAAGCACCCCCACAACAUGAUGCUGCCACCCCCGUGCUUCACGGUUGUGAUGGUGUUCUUCGGCUUGCAAGCCUCCCUCUUUUUCCUCCAAACAUAACGAUGGUCAUUAUGGCCAAACAGUUCUAUUUUUGUUUCAUCAGACCCAAGGACAUUUCUCCAAAAGUACGAUAUUUGUCCUUAUGUGCAGUUUCGAACCAUAGUCUGGCUUUUUUAUGGCGGUUUGGAGCAGUGGCUUCUUCCUUGCUGAGCGGCCGUUCAGGUUAUGUCGAUAUAGGACUUGUUUUACUGUGGAUAUAGAUACUUCUGUACCUGUUUCCUCCAGUAUCUUCGCAAUGUACUUUGCUGUUGUUCUGGAAGUGAUUUGCACUUUUCGCACCAAAGUACGUUCAUCUCUAGGAGACAGAACGCGUCUCCUUCCUGAGCGGUAUGAUGGCUGCGUGGUCCCAUGGUGUUUAUAUUUGCGUACUAAUGUUUGUAUAGAUGAACGUGGUACCUCAGGCAUUUGGAAAUUGCUCCCAAGGAUGAACCAGACUUGUGGAGGUCUACAAGUCUUUUUCUGAGGUCUUUGAUGAUUUCUUUUGAUUUUCCCAUGAUGUCAAGCAAAGAGGCACGAGUUUGAAGGUAGGCCUUGAAAUACAUCCACAGGUACACCUCCAAUUGACUCAAAUGAUGUCAAUUAGCCUAUCAGAAGCUUCUAAAGACAUGACAUAAUUUUCUGGAAUUUUCCAAGAUGUUUAAAGGCGCAGUGUCGGUACACUUCUGACCCAAUGGAAUUGUGAUACAGUGAAUUAUAAAUGCAAUAAUCUGUCUGUAAACAAUUGCUGGAAAAAUGACUUGUGUAUUGCACAAAGUAGAUGUCCUAACCGACUUGCCAAAACUAUAGUUUGUUAACAAGAAAUUUGUGGAGUGGUUGAAAAACGAUUUUUAAUGACCCCAACCUAAGUGUAUGUAAACUUCCGACUUCAACUGUACAUCCAAACCUUUGGCUGGUACUGUAUAUAAAAGUGCUAUCAGAUUUGUGGCCCUCAAAAGGGUGGAAUUGCAUAGUAGGCUUAUUCAUUUUGUGUGAAAAAGCUGGCUAAGCAAGCUGAACCUGAAUAGGCUAGACAGGUCCAAGCCCCUGCUCUUAGUGAUGUGUUGCGUUUGAUUUGUGUUUUUUAAUAAGCUGGGAAUUCUAUGUUUUGAAGAUGUGACUUUAAUGAGUGGAGAAUGAAUGUCCUAUGUGGUAUAUUAGCGAGAGAACACUGCUGAGUGCUGACUGAUAAAUGGAGGCCAAGGUUAUUGAUCCAAUGAGCAGAUAAUAAAAUGAAAUUGUUGCAGAGACAUUCUGUGAGUGGUAGUAGUGUGUGGGGCCAUUUGAAUGGACUGCCCCCCCACCCCAUCAGAUCAUCUCUAUUAUUUUAUCCGCCCUCUGAAUCUUUCAAAGGCAGUUGGCUUCUACUUGUAACCUGUUCCAGUAGGCUAUAAGGUAUUAAAUAUAAGUUAGGCCUAAUAAAUGUAGACCUAGUUAGUUUUAUUAGUAUAUACUUAGUAUAUUAAA